UGUGAGCUCGAUGAGUAGGGCGGGACACGUGGUAUCCUGUCUGAAUAUGGGGGGACCAUCCUCCAAGGCUAAAUACUCCUGACUGACCGAUAGUGAACCAGUACCGUGAGGGAAAGGCGAAAAGAACCCCGGCGAGGGGAGUGAAAAAGAACCUGAAACCGUGUACGUACAAGCAGUGGGAGCCUCUUAAUGGGGUGACUGCGUACCUUUUGUAUAAUGGGUCAGCGACUUAUAUUCUGUAGCAAGGUUAACCGAAUAGGGGAGCCGAAGGGAAACCGAGUCUUAACUGGGCGUUAAGUUGCAGGGUAUAGACCCGAAACCCGGUGAUCUAGCCAUGGGCAGGUUGAAGGUUGGGUAACACUAACUGGAGGACCGAACCGACUAAUGUUGAAAAAUUAGCGGAUGACUUGUGGCUGGGGGUGAAAGGCCAAUCAAACCGGGAGAUAGCUGGUUCUCCCCGAAAGCUAUUUAGGUAGCGCCUCGUGAAUUCAUCUCCGGGGGUAGAGCACUGUUUCGGCAAGGGGGUCAUCCCGACUUACCAACCCGAUGCAAACUGCGAAUACCGGAGAAUGUUAUCACGGGAGACACACGGCGGGUGCUAACGUCCGUCGUGAAGAGGGAAACAACCCAGACCGCCAGCUAAGGUCCCAAAGUCAUGGUUAAGUGGGAAACGAUGUGGGAAGGCCCAGACAGCCAGGAUGUUGGCUUAGAAGCAGCCAUCAUUUAAAGAAAGCGUAAUAGCUCACUGGUCGAGUCGGCCUGCGCGGAAGAUGUAACGGGGCUAAACCAUGCACCGAAGCUGCGGCAGCGACGCUUAUGCGUUGUUGGGUAGGGGAGCGUUCUGUAAGCCUGUGAAGGUGGCCUGUGAGGGUUGCUGGAGGUAUCAGAAGUGCGAAUGCUGACAUAAGUAACGAUAAAGCGGGUGAAAAGCCCGCUCGCCGGAAGACCAAGGGUUCCUGUCCAACGUUAAUCGGGGCAGGGUGAGUCGACCCCUAAGGCGAGGCCGAAAGGCGUAGUCGAUGGGAAACAGGUUAAUAUUCCUGUACUUGGUGUUACUGCGAAGGGGGGACGGAGAAGGCUAUGUUGGCCGGGCGACGGUUGUCCCGGUUUAAGCGUGUAGGCUGGUUUUCCAGGCAAAUCCGGAAAA
rnacentral:rRNA from 1 species